GUUCGGUUUGCUAAAAAUGUCUUCUUGGGAUGCCGGCAAUGGUGAGAUAGAGCAAAAGGGUCGAUGGGAAAAGUUGUGGCGGGAAGGGGUAUUGGGGAGAAAAACGUAUGUGGGUAGUGGUAAUAUUCUCAAUAAAGAUGAAGUGAAAGGUCUAAGGGUAGUAUUGAGAAGAAGAGAUCGUAGGCCGGAGUUAAUGGCACCGGCUCCGGCGGCGGCCAUUUUGUGGGUGUUGACUGUUGAGCUGAGUGAUGCU
rnacentral:misc_RNA from 1 species